GACAGUUCACCGCAGUAUAACUCUGUCUGGCACUUUUGCAAAUUCCUGAGAUUGAGCUUCUACAGAACUGCUAUUGAAUCAUGUCAAUAUUUAAUCAGCACCUAAAGACUGCUGGAAAUAAAUAUUUAGAGACAGUGCUUCUAUUUUAUUGUUUCAGUGCACUGAAGAAGUAGGGAAGAAUGCACUUCUGCAUCACCCUUUGAUUUGAUGCAAUUUAAAUUCUCAGUGCUUAUUCUUGCAAGUGAGGAAGAGAUUAAGAACUGGACUCCAAGAUUUUACAAGCUGUAAUGAAGUGACUAAGUGAAGAAUUUCAUUUUUCAAUCUUUUAUUCAGGCAAACGUCUGUUAAAGUCACUGGGGCAUGGAGUACAGCUCUUCAGAAUUCAGGUCAAUUUGCCGUCGAAGGAAGAGAUGGGCUCUGUGCUGAUAUUUUUUUCAGUCUGUGUAGAAAAGUCUCUUUUCUUUGAGGGUUUAACAUUGAAUAUGGCCAAGCAACCAGACCUCAGAAUCAAAGGAAAUUAAGAGAGAGGCUCUUGUCUAUUUCUACUUGAAAGUCAGGGACUUGAACCAUCUCAGGUUGAAGCAAUUUUUAAAAUACUGAAACACUAUGGCUAUAUCUCUCAUAUUGCUUUGAAAGAUUAGGUGCUUGGGGAUAUUUUAGAUUCCUUUAUUUCUCUGCUAAAACAUGAUUUCAAGACACGGAAUGACUCUUGUCAAAGAGUUUAGAAGGAUGUUAAUAUAUAAAACAAGAACAGAAAGCUGCAUUCUUUAACAUUAAUCUGCUAUUAAAC
ensembl:lncRNA